GCACAAGCGGUGGAUGAUGUGGUUUAAUUCGAUGCAACGCGAAAACCUUACCCACCUUUGACAUGUACGGAAUCCUUUAGAGAUAGAGGAGUGCUCGAAAGAGAACCGUAACACAGGUGCUGCAUGGCUGUCGUCAGCUCGUGUCGUGAGAUGUUGGGUUAAGUCCCGCAACGAGCGCAACCCUUGCCAUUAGUUGCUACGAAAGGGCACUCUAAUGGGACUGCCGGUGACAAACCGGAGGAAGGUGGGGAUGACGUCAAGUCCUCAUGGCCCUUAUAGGUGGGGCUACACACGUCAUACAAUGGCCGGUACAGAGGGUAGCCAACCCGCGAGGGGGAGCCAAUCCCACAAAGCCGGUCGUAGUCCGGAUCGCAGUCUGCAACUCGACUGCGUGAAGUCGGAAUCGCUAGUAAUCGCGGAUCAGCAUGUCGCGGUGAAUACGUUCCCGGGUCUU
rnacentral:rRNA from 1 species